GACGAACGCUGGCGGCGUGCUUAACCCAUGCAAGUCGAACGAAGUGGCGAACGGGUGAGUAACGCGUAAUCAACCUGCCCUUCAGAGGGGGACAACAGUUGGAAACGACUGCUAAUCCCGCAUACUGAAGGAGGGGAUUGCGUCUGAUUCGCGAGUGGGAGGGGUAACGGCCCCCCAAGGCGAUGAUCAGUAGACGGUCUGAGAGGAGGAACGGCCACAUGGGGACUGAGACACGGCCCAGACUCCUACGGGAGGCAUCAGAGGGGAAUCUUCCGCAAUGGACGAAAGUCUGACGGAGCAACGCCGCGUGAGUGAUGACGGCCUUCGGGUUGUAAAGCUCUGUUAAUCGGGACGCGGUACCGGAAUAGAAAGCCACGGCUAACUACGUGCCAGCAGCCGCGGUAAUUC
rnacentral:rRNA from 1 species